GACGAACGCUGGCGGCGUGCCUAAUACAUGCAAGUAGAACGCUGAAGAGAGGAGCUUGCUCUUCUUGGAUGAGUUGCGAACGGGUGAGUAACGCGUAGGUAACCUGCCUGGUAGCGGGGGAUAACUAUUGGAAACGAUAGCUAAUACCGCAUAAAAUGGAUUAUCGCAUGAUAAUUCAUUGAAAGGUGCAAAUGCAUCACUACCAGAUGGACCUGCGUUGUAUUAGCUAGUUGGUGGGGUAACGGCUCACCAAGGCAACGAUACAUAGCCGACCUGAGAGGGUGAUCGGCCACACUGGGACUGAGACACGGCCCAGACUCCUACGGGAGGCAGCAGUAGGGAAUCUUCGGCAAUGGACGGAAGUCUGACCGAGCAACGCCGCGUGAGUGAAGAAGGUUUUCGGAUCGUAAAGCUCUGUUGUAAGAGAAGAACGAGUGUGAGAGGGAAAGUUCACACUG
rnacentral:rRNA from 1 species